rnacentral:rRNA from 1 species
AGUGAACGUUGGCGGCGUGGAUUAGGCAUGCAAGUCGAGCGAGAACCGUAGCAAUACGGGGACAGCGGCGAAAGGGACAGUAAUGUGUAGGUACCUACCUCCGGGUUCGGGAUAGCUGCGGGAAACUGCAGGUAAUACCGAAUAACGUCUCCGGACCAAAGGUGUGAUUCCACCUGGAGAGGGGCCUGCAUCCUAUUAGCUUGUUGGCGGGGUAACGGCCCACCAAGGCGACGAUGGGUAGAGGGGGUGAGAGCAAGACCCGCGUCAUUGGGGCUGAGACACUGCCCAGACACCUACGGGUGGCUGCAGUCGUGAAUCUUCGGCAAUGGGCGCAAGCCUGACCGAGCGGCGCCGCGUGCGGGAUGAAGGCCUUCGGGUUGUAAACCGCUGUCGUAGAGGAGGAAAUGCAGGGGGGUUCUCCCCUCUGUUUGACCUAUUCUAGGAGGAAGUACGGGCUAAGUUCGUGCCAGCCGCCGCCGUAA